UUGAGAAGGGCUGUCCCUAGUACGAGAGGACCGGGACGGACGAACCUCUGGUGUGCCAGUUGUCCUGCCAAGGGCAUGGCUGGUUGGCUACGUUCGGAAAGGAUAACCGCUGAAAGCAUCUAAGCGGGAAGCCUGCUUCGAGAUGAGGGCUCCCACCAACUUGAUUGGUUAAGGCUCCCAGUAGACGACUGGGUUGAUAGGCCAGAUAUGGAAGCCCGGUAACGGGUGGAGUUGACUGGUACUAAUAGGCCGAGGGCUUGUCCUC
rfam:Streptomyces sp. NBRC 110027 DNA, contig: TPA059808.